AGGUGUGGAAAUGUAACCCCUUUCGCACGAGGUUAUGCGCAAAAAAGAAUGCCAAACAUGCGUUACUAAUUAUAGCUCCCUAGGAAUUCUUAAAUUAUUUAAUGCUGAAUAAACCUUCUAUAUCUCUAAUAGAAUAACCUGAACUAAUAGCAAGCAUAAGCAUGUACCGAGCUUUUUGUGGAUUAAGGAAAUAAGAAGGAAUGCCAAGGCAAGAGUUACUUGAAUAUCCUUCCGCAGUCCGAUGACUGUACACUACUGGAAUAUUGUGUUCCCGUAUUAACGAGCUGAUAACUUCAUUACCAUCAUCAGUCCAUGAAGUUGCUCCCAUAGCAGCCAAAACCAAGCCUUUGGCCCCCAGAUGGACUGCUGAUUCAGCAAGUUUGGGAUUCAAUCCUUGAUAUCCAUAUAAGAUGUCUACUCGUGGUAGUUGUUUAAUGUUAUAAAUGUCAAAGAACACUUUACCGGUUGGAACAGCUGGACUAAAAAAGUAAAAUGGUUUUUGAUUAAGAACUAUCCCAAGAGAUCCAGCUUCAUAAGAUUUAAAUGUGUCAAGCGUAUUUCCAUUCGUUUUCGUAGUGUAAAAUGCAGAUCCAAUCCGGUCAUUUAAUAAAACUAAAGUGCCCCUUCCCAUAGAUUGAUUGGAAGAUGCCACAGCAACAGCGUUUAACAAAUUCAUAGGGCCGUCUGCGCCUAUAGCCGUAGAUGGUCUCAUUGCUCCAACUACAACAAUUGGUUUUGCAGUACUGAUGGUCAGAUCAAGAAACAUUGCUGUUUCUUCCAGGGAGUCGGUACCGUGUGUAAUGACGAUACCAUGAACAUUCGGUUUUGCAACUUCGGCUAAAAUCAAUUUAGCUAGUUUUAGGACAUCAGCAGGUGUUAAAUUUUCGCUUCCCAUAUUAGUUACCUGUACUCCAUUAAUGUUUGCAAUUGCCUUGAUCGCUGGAACCGCCUCAAUCAAUUUUUCAAUUCCUACCGAACCGGGAAUGUAAUUGACAAUCUCAAGACUUGAAUUUGCGCAUCCAGCGAUUGUACCACCCAUUGCAAAAACUGUAACAUUGGGAAGCAAGGCAUUAUAAGGAGUGGAUUUUGAUUUGCGUUUACUCAGUAAACGCAAUUGGCAUAGUAACACUAGAAAAAUCCCACAAGUUACUAUGAAUCCCCACAUCUCCUUACUUGGAAGCGCAGAUAGGAAACGGAACUAACCAUUAAAAAUUUCUUAUCUUUCAUAUUCUUUUUUAGUGUAUGGUAUCGUUAAACGUCGUGACUGCUUUUUCGGAGCAGCGCAU